rnacentral:tRNA from 1 species
AGCAACGUGGCGCAGCGGAAGCGUGAGUACAAUCCGCACCUAAUACAGAAUUUAAUUAACACGUGACCAGGCGCCGGGCUCAUAACCCGGAGGACCUUGGAUCGAAACCAAGCGUUGCUA